CCUACGGGUGGCAGCAGUAGGGAAUAUUGCUCAAUGGGGGAAACCCUGAAGCAGCAACGCCGCGUGGAGGAUGAAGGUUUUCGGAUUGUAAACCUCUUUUGUUAGAGAAGUUAAUGACGGUACCUAACGAAUAAGCACCGUCUAACUCCGUGCCAGCAGCCGCGGCAAUACGGAGGAUGCAAGCGUUACACGGAAUCACUGGGCGUAAAGAGCGCGUAGGGGGAUUAGCAAGUCAGAUGUGAAAUCCUAUGGCUUAACCGUAGAACUGCAUUUGAAACUGUUAUUCUAGAGUAUGGGAGAGGUAGGUGGAAUUCUUGGUGUAGGGGUAAAAUCCGUAGAGAUCACGAGGAAUACUCAUUGCGAAGGCGACCUGCUAGAACAUAACUGACGCUGAUGCGCGAAAGCGUGGGGAGCAAACAGGAUUAGAUACCCGGGUAGUC
rnacentral:rRNA from 1 species